rnacentral:rRNA from 1 species
GAGUUUGAUCCUGGCUCAGAUUGAACGCUGGCGGAAUGCUUUACACAUGCAAGUCGAGCGGCAGCGCGGGGCAACCUGGCGGCGAGCGGCGAACGGGUGCGUAAUACAUCGGAACAUGUCCAGUCGUGGGGGAUAACCCGGCGAAAGCCAGGCUAAUACCGCAUGCGCUCGGGAGAGGAAAGCGGGGGACUCGCAAGGGCCUCGCGCGAUUGGGUUGGCCGAUGUCCGAUUAGCUAGUUGGUGAGGUAAAGGCUCACCAAGGCGAUGAUCGGUAGCUGGUCUGAGAGGAUGAUCAGCCACACUGGGACUGAGACACGGCCCAGACUCCUACGGGAGGCAGCAGUGGGGAAUUUUGGACAAUGGGGGCAACCCUGAUCCAGCCAUUCCGCGUGAGUGAAGAAGGCCUCGGUUGUAAG